rnacentral:misc_RNA from 1 species
AAUUCUCAACUCCCUUAUACUUUGUUGUAAAGGGGAGCUUGGAUUGUGGAGGCAUGCUGGCCACUCGUUUGAGGCCAGCUCCUCUGAAAUGCAUUAGCGGAACCGUUUGCGAUCUGCCACAAGUGUGAUAAACUAUCUACACUGGCGAGGGGAUUGCUCUCUGUGCUGUUCAGCUUCUAAUUGUCUCUAUGAGACUACUAUUUGAAC